rnacentral:rRNA from 1 species
AUGGCUCAGGACGAACGCUGGCGGCGUGCCUAACACAUGCAAGUCGAGCGAGGAGAUUCCUCGGGAUGAUCCUAGCGGCGGACGGGUGAGUAACACGUGGGCAACCUGCCUCAUAGAGAGGAAUAGCCUUCCGAAAGGGAGAUUAAUACCUCAUAACAUUGCAGUUUCGCAUGGAACAGCAAUUAAAGGAGUAAUCCGCUAUGAGAUGGGCCCGCGGCGCAUUAGCUAGUUGGUGAGGUAACGGCUCACCAAGGCGACGAUGCGUAGCCGACCUGAGAGGGUGAUCGGCCACAUUGGGACUGAGACACGGCCCAGACUCCUACGGGAGGCAGCAGUGGGGAAUAUUGCACAAUGGGGGAAACCCUGAUGCAAGCAACGCCGCGUGAGUGAUGACGGCCUUCGGGUUGUAAAGCUCUGUCUUCAGGGACGAUAAUGACGGUACCUGAGGAGGAAGCCACGGCUAACUACGUGCCAGCCGCAGC